rnacentral:lncRNA from 1 species
UCUCAACAAAAAAAAACAACAACAAAAACAACAACAACAACAACAACAACAAAAAGAAUGGUCUAGAAGAAAGAAGACUGGAAUGAUGAAGCAGAAGAGAAGGGAGGCUUACAUAACAUCUUGCGGUAAUGAAAGGGGAUGGAAUCUGGUAUAGGAUCCAGAUCCAGGACUUGAGCAUAGCAGAUUUUGGCAUCUGCGGGUUGUCCUGAAACCAGUGCCCCACAGAUAUGGAGAGCUGACUGCAUUCCAAGUGAAGUUCAUGAGGAUUCCUAGAGCAGAAAAGAAGACAGCAAGCUUAGAGGAUGGAGUCUCGCUCUGUUGCCCAUGCUGGAGUGCAAUGGCACGAUCUUGGCUCACUGCAACCUCUGCCUCCCAGGUUCAAGUGAUUCUCCUGCCUCAGCCUCCUGAACAGCUGCGAUUACCGGCGCGCACCACCAUGCCCAGGGACAAGGUCUUGCUAUGUUGCCCGGCCUGGUCUCAAACUCCUGGGCUUAAGCAACCCUCCCCAGUCCUGCCACCAUAGCCUCCCAAAGCCCUGGGAUUACAGGUGUAAGCUGCAAGAACUUCUUGAAAGGCAAUUCAACAUAGUGUUUAAAAGCAUGCAGGAGUCCUGGGUUCAAAUCUCCAUUCCAGCUCUAUCCAGGCCUCUGAGCCCAAGCUAAGCCAUCAUAUCCCCUGUGACCUGCACAUAUACAUCCAGAUGGCCUGAAGCAACUGAAGAUCCACAAAAGAAGUGAAAAUUGCCAGUUCCUGCCUUAACUGAUGACAUUCCAGCAUUGUGAUUUGUUCCUGCCCCACUCUAACUGAUCAAUUAACUUUGUGACAAUACACCCUCCCCACCCUUGAGAAGGCACUUUGUAAUAUCCUACCCCAACCCACUGCCCUUAAGAAGGUACUUUGUAAUAUUCUCCCCACCCUUGAGAAUGUACUUUGUAAGAUCCACCCGCUGCCCACAAAAAAAUUGCUCCUAACUCCACUGCCUAUCCCAAACCUAUAAGAACUAAUGAUAAUCCCACCACCCUUUGCUGACACUCUUUUUGGACUCCGGCUGCCUGCACCCAGGUGAUUAAAAAGCUUUAUUGCUCACACAAAGCCUGUUUGGUCGUCUCUUCACACGGACACACAUGACAUUUGGUGCCGAAGAGCUGGGACAGGAGGACUCCUUCAGGAGACCAGUUCCCUUGUCCUCGCCCUCACUCCAUGAGGAGAUCCACCUAUGACCUCGGGUCCUCAGACCAACCAGCCCAAGGAACAUCUCACCAAUUUCAAAUCAGCCAAAAUCCACAGUGAUCCACAUAAUACUCAGGAAUCACCCAGAAGGGAUUUCUAUCUGAAAGGAGAAAGAAGCUCUGGGGCAUGAAUAUACGUUGUCUUGUAAAAAAAUAAAUCAGUAAUUCAUGUGUGUAUAUUUUAUACUCAAUGGGAAAAAAUGUUUUAUUUAAAAAAACACUCAAUAUUUUACAUGACAUUGUGAAAAGGCAGCACGGAAUUACUCAUUUGCUUCCUUUUUUAAAGUUUUAGAUGAAAAAUAAACAUUUAAUCCCAUCACUUGU